rnacentral:rRNA from 1 species
CCCUUAGAUGUUCUGGGCUGCACGCGCGCUACACUGAUGCACUCAACGAGUUUACGACCUUGCCUGGAAGGGUUGGGUAAUCUUUUUAACAUGCAUCGUGAUGGGGAUAGAUUAUUGCAAUUAUUAAUCUUCAACGAGGAAUUCCUAGUAAGCGCGAGUCAUCAGCUCGUGCUGAUUACGUCCCUGCCCUUUGUACACACCGCCCGUCGCACCUACCGAUUGAAUGGUCCGGUGAAGCCUCCGGAUUGGCGCGCACCUCGGUGCCGCCGAGAAGUUGGCUAAACCUUACCAUUUAGAGGAAGGUGAAGUCGUAACA